UGGGGAAUUUUGGACAAUGGGCGAAAGCCUGAUCCAGCAAUGCCGCGUGUGUGAAGAAGGCCUUCGGGUUGUAAAGCACUUUUGUCCGGAAAGAAAUCCUUGGCUCUAAUACAGUCGGGGGAUGACGGUACCGGAAGAAUAAGCACCGGCUAACUACGUGCCAGCAGCCGCGGUAAUACGUAGGGUGCAAGCGUUAAUCGGAAUUACUGGGCGUAAAGCGUGCGCAGGCGGUUUGCUAAGACCGAUGUGAAAUCCCCGGGCUCAACCUGGGAACUGCAUUUGGUGACUGGCAGGCUAGAGUAUGGCAGAGGGGGGUAGAAUUCCACGUGUAGCAGUGAAAUGCGUAGAGAUGUGGAGGAAUACCGAUGGCGAAGGCAGCCCCCUGGGCCAAAUACUGACGCUCAUGCACGAAAGCGUGGGGGAGCAAACAGGAUUAGAUACCCCUGGUAGUCCACGCCCUAAACGAUGUCAACUAGUUGUUGGGGAUUCAUUUCCUUAGUAACGUAGCUAACGCGUGAAGUUGACCGCCUGGGGAGUACGGUCGCAAGAUUAAAACUCAAAUGAAUUGACGAGGUCAUAGCUG
rnacentral:rRNA from 1 species